rnacentral:rRNA from 1 species
AUUGAACGCUGGCGGAAUGCUUUACACAUGCAAGUCGAACGGCAGCACGGGGGCAGCCCUGGUGGCGAGUGGCGAACGGGUGAGUAAUACAUCGGAACGUGCCCGGUCGUGGGGGAUAACGUAGCGAAAGUUACGCUAAUACCGCAUACGAUCUGAGGAUGAAAGCGGGGGACCUUCGGGCCUCGCGCGAUCGGAGCGGCCGAUGUCAGAUUAGGUAGUUGGUGGGGUAAAGGCCUACCAAGCCGACGAUCUGUAGCUGGUCUGAGAGGACGACCAGCCACACUGGGACUGAGACACGGCCCAGACCCCUGCGGGAGGCAGCAGUGGGGAAUUUUGGACAAUGGGCGCGAGCCUGAUCCAGCCAUUCCGCGUGCAGGACGAAGGCCUUCGGGUUGUAAACUGCUUUUGUACGGAACGAAAAGGCUCUGGCUAAUACCUGGGGCUCAUGACGGUACCGUAAGAAUAAGCACCGGCUAACUACGUG